rnacentral:rRNA from 1 species
GUCUGAACUCAGAUCACGUAAGGAAUUAAAAGUCGAACAGACUUAAAAAUAAAGCUGCUACACCUAAUAUUAUACCUUAAUCCAACAUCGAGGUCGCAAUCUUUUUUAUCAAUAUGAACUUUCCAAAAAAAUUACGCUGUUAUCCCUAAAGUAACUUAAUUUAUUAAUCAAUAUUAAAGGAUCAACCAAUCAUAAAUUAAUGUUAUAAAAAUUAAAAGUUAAUUAAAUUUUAAUAUCUCCCCAAUAAAAUACAAAAAUAUAUUCAAACAUAAAAAAUCUAAGUUAUAAAAAUAUAAAAUUGUAUAAAGAUUUAUAGGGUCUUCUCGUCUAUUAAAUAAAUUUUAGCUUUUUUACUAAAAAAUAAAUUUCUAUAAUAAUUUUAAUUGAAACAGUCAAUAUCUCGUCCAACCAUUCAUUCCAGCCUUCAAUUAAAAGACUAAUUAUUAUGCUACCUUUGCACAGUCAAAAUACUGCGGCCAUUCAAUACCUCAUUGGGCAGGUUAGACUUUAAAUUUUGUUCUUAAAGACAUGUUUUUGUUAAACAGGGCG